AAUAUUAUCAUUACAGAAAUAACAAGUUGUAGCUUGUUAAAAAUAAUGCAGAAUGAAUGACUAAAGUUGAGUACUUGUUCAAAACUAAUUAUUUUUAGCAUAUUAAAAUCUGCGAUCCGUUUGGUCAAAUAGAUAUUAAUAAAUUUUUACUUUGGCAAAAAAUCUCACAGACGGUGUUAUUUGUCUACUUUAGAUUUUCAUAUUCUCCUAUCAGCCUAAUAACUAUAAUUCAUAAAAUAUAAUCAUAAUAUAAUUAUAUCUAUAAAAAUGAUAAUCCUUACGAAUUGCUAAAUUAGCAAUGAGUAAAAAAUCAUACGAUGUAACGUGAUCACAUAAAGCGAACUAUUGCAUUACAAUAAGAAUCCCUUAGUCGAUACUUUUUUGGAUUUACACGAGUAUAAUACGUACAUAAUAAAUUGUAUUGUCGUUUAUAAUGUUUGCUUUGAUUGCGAACGUUUUAAUUAUUCGAGGUAACACUUCACAUUUGCUUAUAAGCAAAGACAUGUUGGUUAGCGAUCAUUACUUUCUAGUGCUGAUAUAAUAUUUGGUUCAAUACCAUACCCCAGCUACUGGUUUUCAGCUAAAAUCUAGAAAGUAAAUCGUUCAACAAAACAAAAGUUUUACUUCUGAAUAUCUUUAGUGUAAGUUUAGUAUACUCGUACUUCAUCGCCACCUAAUUUGCCAGAAUCACACCAGUAAAGAUGUCGGACUGCGAGAGUGACAUCGUUCCCUUCAACAAUGAACGUAAAAUAGAAAGUUCCCAUAAACGGACAACAUCGACAGGCAAACGCAAGACACCCACAAAAUCUGCUAUUAUAAG